rnacentral:rRNA from 1 species
CGCAGUAGCAAUACUGAGUUGGCAGACGGGUGCGUAACGCGUAUGCAACCUACCCCGGAUCGGGGGACAACCCUUCGAAAGGAGGGCUAAUACCGCAUAAGAUUGUAGAGUGGCAUUACUCAGCAAUUAAACUUACGGGGAUCCGGGAUGGGCAUGCGUCUGAUUAGCUAGUUGGCGGGGUAACGGCCCACCAAGGCGACGAUCAGUAGGGGAACUGAGAGGUUGAUCCCCCACACUGGCACUGAGAUACGGGCCAGACUCCUACGGGAGGCAGCAGUAGGGAAUAUUGGGCAAUGGUCGGAAGACUGACCCAGCCACGCCGCGUGCAGGAGGAAGGCCCUCUGGGUUGUAAACUGCUUUAGCAGGGGAAGAAAAAGGCCAUGCGUGGCAAAUUGACGGUACCCUGAGAAUAAGCACCGGCUAACUACGUGCCAGCAGCCGCGGUAAUACGUAGGGUGCGAGCGUUGUCCGGAUUUAUUGGGUUUAAAGGGUGCGUAGGCGGCCGAAUAAGUCAGUGUUAAAAUUUUGCAGCUUAACUGUAGGUAUGGCAUUGAUACUGUUUGGCUUGAAUAUCAUGGAGGUAGCUGGAAUUUAUGGUGUAGCGGUGAAAUGCAUAGAUACCAUAAGGAACGCCGAUAGCGGAGGCAUGUUACCACGUGAUAAUUGACGCUGAGGCACGAAAGUGUGGGGAUCAAACAGGAUUAGAUACCCUGGUAGUCCACACUGUAAACGAUGAUUACUAGAUGCUGGCUAGAAUUAGUCAGUGUUCAAGCGAAAGCGAUAAGUAAUCCACCUGGG